UGGCUCAGGAUGAACGCUAGCUACAGGCUUAACACAUGCAAGUCGAGGGGCAUCAGGAAGAAAGCUUGCUUUCUUUGCUGGCGACCGGCGCACGGGUGAGUAACACGUAUCCAACCUGCCCUUUACUCGGGGAUAGCCUUUCGAAAGAAAGAUUAAUACCCGAUAGCAUAAUGAUUCCGCAUGGUUUCAUUAUUAAAGGAUUCCGGUAAAGGAUGGGGAUGCGUUCCAUUAGGUUGUUGGUGAGGUAACGGCCCACCAAGCCUUCGAUGGAUAGGGGUUCUGAGAGGAAGGUCCCCCACAUUGGAACUGAGACACGGUCCAAACUCCUACGGGAGGCAGCAGUGAGGAAUAUUGGUCAAUGGGCGCUAGCCUGAACCAGCCAAGUAGCGUGAAGGAUGAAGGCUCUAUGGGUCGUAAACUUCUUUUAUAUAAGAAUAAAGUGCAGUAUGUAUACUGUUUUGUAUGUAUUAUAUGAAUAAGGAUCGGCUAACUCCGUGCCAGCAGCCGCGGUAAUACGGAGGAUCCGAGCGUUAUCCGGAUUUAUUGGGUUUAAAGGGAGCGUAGGUGGACUGGUAAGUCAGUUGUGAAAGUUUGCGGCUCAACCGUAAAAUUGCAGUUGAUACUGUCAGUCUUGAGUACAGUAGAGGUGGGCGGAAUUCGUGGUGUAGCGGUGAAAUGCUUAGAUAUCACGAAGAACUCCGAUUGCGAAGGCAGCUCACUGGACUGCAACUGACACUGAUGCUCGAAAGUGUGGGUAUCAAACAGGAUUAGAUACCCUGGUAGUCCACACAGUAAACGAUGAAUACUCGCUGUUUGCGAUAUACAGUAAGCGGCCAAGCGAAAGCAUUAAGUAUUCCACCUGGGGAGUACGCCGGCAACGGUGAAACUCAAAGGAAUUGACGGGGGCCCGCACAAGCGGAGGAACAUGUGGUUUAAUUCGAUGAUACGCGAGGAACCUUACCCGGGCUUAAAUUGCAGUGGAAUGAUGUGGAAACAUGUCAGUGAGCAAUCACCGCUGUGAAGGUGCUGCAUGGUUGUCGUCAGCUCGUGCCGUGAGGUGUCGGCUUAAGUGCCAUAACGAGCGCAACCCUUAUCUUUAGUUACUAACAGGUUAUGCUGAGGACUCUAGAGAGACUGCCGUCGUAAGAUGUGAGGAAGGUGGGGAUGACGUCAAAUCAGCACGGCCCUUACGUCCGGGGCUACACACAUGUUACAAUGGGGGGUACAGAAGGCAGCUAGCGGGUGACCGUAUGCUAAUCCCAAAAUCCUCUCUCAGUUCGGAUCGAAGUCUGCAACCCGACUUCGUGAAGCUGGAUUCGCUAGUAAUCGCGCAUCAGCCACGGCGCGGUGAAUACGUUCCCGGGCCUUGUACACACCGCCCGUCAAGCCAUGGGAGCCGGGGGUACCUGAAGUACGUAACCGCAAGGAUCGUCCUAGGGUAAAA
rnacentral:rRNA from 1 species